rnacentral:rRNA from 1 species
CCUGGCGGCCAUAGCGCGGUGGUCCCACCUGAUCCCAUGCCGAACUCAGAAGUGAAACGCCGUAGCGCCGAUGGUAGUGUGGGGUCUCCCCAUG